GUGUCAGCCGCCGCGGUAACACGUAGGAGCCUAGCGUUAUCCGAAUUUACUGGGCGUAAAGCGCGUGUAGGCGGUUCGGUAAGUUGGGUGUGAAAUCUCCUGGCUCAACUGGGAGAGGUCGCUCAAUACUGUCGAGCUUGAGGAUGGUAGAGGGAGGUGGAAUUCCGGGUGUAGUGGUGAAAUGCGUAGAUAUCCGGAGGAAUACCAGUGGCGAAGGCGGCCUCCUGGACCAUUUCUGACGCUCAGACGCGAAAGCUAGGGGAGCGAACGGGAUUAGAAACCCUUGUAGUCC
rnacentral:rRNA from 1 species